rnacentral:rRNA from 1 species
GAGUUUACGCUCUACAACCCUUUGUGAACAUACCUACAACUGUUGCUUCGGCGGGUAGGGUCUCCGCGACCCUCCCGGCCUCCCGCCUCCGGGCGGGUCGGCGCCCGCCGGAGGAUAACCAAACUCUGAUUUAACGACGUUUCUUCUGAGUGGUACAAGCAAAUAAUCAAAACUUUUAACAACGGAUCUCUUGGUUCUGGCAUCGAUGAAGAACGCAGCGAAAUGCGAUAAGUAAUGUGAAUUGCAGAAUUCAGUGAAUCAUCGAAUCUUUGAACGCACAUUGCGCCCGCCAGCAUUCUGGCGGGCAUGCCUGUUCGAGCGUCAUUUCAACCCUCAAGCUCUGCUUGGUGUUGGGGCCCUACAGCCGAUGUAGGCCCUCAAAGGUAGUGGCGGACCCUCCCGGAGCCUCCUUUGCGUAGUAACUUUACGUCUCGCACUGGGAUCCGGAGGGACUCUUGCCGUAAAACCCCCCAAUUUUCCAAAGGUUGACCUCGGAUCAGGUAGGAAUACCCGCUGAACUUAAGCAUAUCAAUA